rnacentral:tRNA from 1 species
CCCCUCGUAGCUCAAUGGUAGAGCUUCCGACUUUUAAUCGGGUGACGAUGGUCCGAUUCCAUCCGGGGGGA